CCCCAGGGCCCCGUGCGGGUCCCGGCUGCCCCGCUGGUGAAACCCUCGGCAGCCGAAGCCACCCGUGAGAGCCGGCCUGGGCAUCUCUGUCUUGACAAUGGGAGCCAGAAGCCAUCCCUGGGCAAAGCUGUGCCUUGCUGAGCCAUCGCCGCAUCCUGGAGCUGCUUUUUCUGAGGAUGGCAGAGCUGCAGCAUGACCCAUGUCUGCAGCAGUGCUGGCAGUGGAGGUCACUGGGGAGAGGAGACGGUGAGCUACUGCAAGAUGAAGAGGAAAGAGGAAAAGGACUUGUUUCAGUACACAGAUCCUCUCACAUUCAGCAACAUGCCCUCUCUGGGUGUCCCUGUGCAUUUAUUUCAAGCAGCGCUGAAUCCGAGGAUAUUCUUCUGGGACAAACCGGGUUGCAAAACAGAAACACACAGCAAGGCUGCAAAUCAGAAGAUCCCAGCCUCUGUCUGACAGCCUGGGAAGAAGCUCCCCAAGAAAGGCUGUUUUGCCUUGGAUCAUGGGAGUGCACAGACACACACACACACACACACACAAAAAAAAAAAAGAAGACUCAGAAGAUGAUUAGUGAAGUGUAAGAAACCCUGGCUGGCAGAAGAAGGGUUUAAUUCUUAGGCUGUGGGUCCAAGGUGCGCCUGUGACAUCAUUUUGUUAUUCAAGAGUGGUGCAAAAAGCAGCAAAGUGAAGCUUAAAAAAACCCCUCAUCUUCUCUUGCUCACCAAAUUGCUGUUUAGGAGGUUGUGAUGAACCCACAGCCUCCUGCCUUACUCCACCAGGCUGCAAGGUUGCUUCUGUCUGAAGCACGCGUCCUCUGCUGCACCUCGGAAAAGCUGAUUUCCUCUUUCCUCUUCCAGAAUGAUGUGAAAAAUAGCUGGGCUUGGCCCCAGCGCCUCUGAAAGGCUCUCUUGCCCUGGCAGGCAGGGCAGGGAGGAGUCGCUAGGGACAGUUCAGUGCUAUCAACCAUGACUCUGCAAGGCCAAGUCACCCUGGGAACUCAAAUGACCCCCCAAACCCUACAAAGCAUGUCUUUACCAGUGAUGCUGACAACCCCCGGCUCCACACAUGCAUAGUAUAUGUGCCCCGGUACUCCCAUGGUUUAUUCUGGGACAGAAGAUGUUUGUGCCUUCAUCUGGGCUCUGCUGGCGUGAAAUGAAAAGCCUUCUUCAAAAUUUCCUUGCCCCUAGAGCCCGAUGGCUCACUUCCCUGCUUGGGACCACGCCAGCGACUCCCUCUCCCCGAUGCGCAGGUGAUUCACAUUUAAGUAAAGGUCGGGACUUUUGCGACUCCCCGGCUGUUUAGCAGCUAACAGGCUUUCAGCAGAGCAAUCCGGUGUCAUGCCGCAGCUUGUAAUUAAAAAAAAUGUCUUGAUGAUGUCACUCCAUCACAAGGCAGCAUAGCUGUGAACUUCUGGCUCACCACUGUUAGCAUAUCCAAAGAGCAGGAUGGAAAGGCUCUUGGCCUCAGAAAUCAGCUUACUGCGCAAAAUCGGUCAGUUUUGGCUUGCGUCACCUUCAGGAGCAGACUCCAGAGCCCGUGAUUACUUUGCUUUUAAAAUUUGAUGUGCCUUCCAAGUAGAAUUCAUACCCUGGGCAUGAGGAAUAAUAACACAAAAAAGGCAAAAUCCUCUAAGCGGAUCCAAAAGUGUUAACAAUUUUACUUAUGCCGGGCUAGCUCAGGUCCCCGUGUCUGUCGUACCUGGACAUCUGGGGCAGGAGAAAUGCCCUCCGGCCUUUUUUCUCCCAGCUGCGCGUGGUCUCCCAGCACCCUCACCCCUGCAGGAGACCCCUGGUUUUCCUGCCCCCGAUGAGAUUGCUAGCACAGAGUUUACCUGCAAACGCACGUUUCUUGUGUUCAACCUACAUCCCCGAGCUCACCUCGGGUGCACUGGGGAGCUGAAUUGGUUGUGCUCGGAGGAGGGUGGGGAGCGAUGUGCCGGGGAUGUGCCUGCCCUAAAUUCUGCUGAAGCACUAUCCUGCCUGGUGGCAUAAGACCUAAAAUGUACUUUGGCCUUAGGAAGCGAGGUAAUUAAUGCCUGUAGCCCGAAUCAUUUCAAUCUUACUCAGUGCUAAAUGGAAGCAAAACAUGACAGAUGAAAGAGGGAACUGUUUAAUCAGCCGGGGGAACUUUCCAGGAGAAAACUGCCAGUUGUUGGGAAGUUUCAGGCGGAAGGUAUGCACCCGCUCCCCCGGGGGCUGGGGCACCCUAUAAAACCCCGCGUGGCACCCGGCCCCACCACCCGCUCCCAGCUGCCGCUGCCGCCUCCGACUGGGUAAGUCGAGACGGGCUCCGUCUCCUUCCCCCCACUGAGCUGUUGCUUUCACCGAUGCC